rnacentral:misc_RNA from 1 species
GAUGAAGAACGUAGCAAAAUGCGAUAAGUAAUGUGAAUUGCAGAAUUCAGUGAAUCAUCGAAUCUUUGAACGCACAUUGCGCCCGCCAGUAUUCUGGCGGGCAUGCCUGUUCGAGCGUCAUUUCAACCCUCAAGCACAGCUUGGUGUUGGGACUCGCGCUAAUUCGCGUUCCCCAAAUUGAUUGGCGGUCACGUCGAGCUUCCAUAGCGUAGUAGUAAAACCCUCGUUACUGGUAAUCGUCGCGGCCACGUCGUUAAACCCCAACUUCUGAAUGUUGACCUCGGAUCAGGUAGGAAUACCCGCUGAACUUAAGCAUAUCAAUAAGCGGAGGA